CAGACCCAACAAGGGCUGCAACACAAAAUCCUGAGUCGUUGGUCAUCCUGAUGCUGUAGAUUAAGAGCUACGAUGUUCAAAAGCAAGGCUUAGCUGCAGACCACUGAGGAGGAUCAGCUCAUUUCCUUUAGCGCACGCCGUGGAGGUUGGUGGGCUGGUGACUGGAGAGGACCGAGGACCACCUGACGGCCCGCUGGUGCUUGGGAACGCGCACACAAACUGCUGAUUGUGUCUUUAUCUGUCCUCUGACAGCAGCCGGGCCACCCAGCCUGGAUCUGCCUCCAACAUGUCAUCCCUCUGUGUGGUCCUAAACAAAACAGAAACAGGGAAACGGAGGAAAGCGUACCGAUGCCAGCCGAGAGGGAAAGAAAGAGAUGUUUCAAAAUAUGACAGUGUCAUCUCUGGGAAUGGAGCUCAGAGGAGAGAAAAGGCAGACAAAAAAGUGUUUGA